rnacentral:rRNA from 1 species
AACGAACGCUGGCGGCAGGCCUAACACAUGCAAGUCGAACGCUGUAGCAAUACAGAGUGGCAGACGGGUGAGUAACGCGUGGGAACCUUCCCAAUGGUACGGAAUAGCCCAGGGAAACUUGGGGUAAUACCGUAUACGCCCCUAGGGGGAAAGAUUUAUCGCCAUUGGAUGGGCCCGGGUCGGAUUAGCUAGUUGGUGAGGUAAUGGCUCACCAAGGCAACGAUCCGUAGCUGGUUUGAGAGAAUGACCAGCCACACUGGGACUGAGACGCGGCCCAGACUCCUACGGGAGGCAGCAGUGGGGAAUCUUGGACAAUGGGCGCAAGCCUGAUCCAGCCAUGCCGCGUGAGUGACGAAGGCCUUAGGGUUGUAAAGCUCUUUUGCCGGGGACGAUAAUGACGGUACCCGGAGAAUAAGUCCCGGCUAACUUCGUGCCAGCAGCCGCCGUAA